UCCCGGUUGGCCCGGGCAGUCUCGUAUGAAAAAUACAACAUACGACAAGGGUUGCGCUCGUUGCGGGACUUAACCCAACAUCUCACGACACGAGCUGACGACGGCCAUGCAGCACCUGUCACCGAUCCAGCCGAACUGACUCCUAUGUUUCCAUAGGAUACGAUCGGGAUGUCAAGACUUGGAUAAGGUUCUUCGCGUAGCCUCGAAUUAAACCACAUACUCCUCCGCUUGUGCGGAGCCCCGUCAAUUCCUUUGAGUUUUAGCCUUGCGGCCGUACUCCCCAGGCGGCACACUUAACGCGUUAGCUUCUCAGCACAGAGGGUCGAUACUCCAUACUAAUAGUGUGCAUCGUUUACGGCGUGGACUAC
rnacentral:misc_RNA from 1 species